UUUCCUUUGGCUCAAUCAGUAGAACAUUGUGCUAACAACGCUAAGGUUGUGGGCUCAAACCCCAGGGAAAG